UCAGUUUUACUUUACUUAAUAUAGCACUCUGAAAUGUCCCAAGUUUCAUUUUUGACUUUAUAUAAUUCUUUGCCUAACUAAUACCAUUUUCAUUGGAUAUACAUUCUUUCAUUUGAAUACUUUUCAUAUUAUGUUUUAAUACACCAAAAAUAUAUAACUUACUGGCAUUUCAAGUAUGUUCUUAAAAACUUUCUGAGUGGAUCAAAUGCUGGUGUAGUAGGUAUAUUUGUUGAAUAGCUUAUAGUUGAAUCAUAGAUGUACACACAGUUUUUAACUUGUUUCAUGUGCAUUGGUGUUUCAGUUUUUAACUUCUAAAAAUUUAUUGUGUGUAUGAUUUAUGUAAUUGGAAGCAUGGGUGUCAAUCUGGAAGUCAUAGAAGGACUUUGUGUUCUGGCCUUCAUUUUUAUAGGACGUAUGCAUCAAAUUCAGUCCGUCAGGCUUGUGUAUCAAACGCCUUACCUGCUGAGCCACUGCACUGGUCCAGUGUAUUUAUUUUUAAGGACUGCUUUUCCUGUUACCAUGUGAAAUGUUACAUACGAUACUGUCUUUUGGGUGCUGAAGAGAAGAUUCAGUAGCUAAAGCUGGUAGUGCCCUUAUGAAGAGUCCAAGUCUGUUCUAUAUAUAGUAUAGGUCUGUUCACAACAGUAUGUAACAUGGAACUCCAGCUUCAGAGGAGCCAAUACUUCUGACACCCACUCCCCUUUGCAGGCAUUGCCCCCCCCCCCAAGUCUUUUUUAAAGAAAGACCGUCUUUCAGGAAGUCUGACAAAGUGGCCUAUUUUCCUACUUUGAGAAACUUUCUUGAGAGAAACUUUGAUUUUUUAUUUUUUUUUUUUUAAGGGGAUGUGUUAGUACUGUUACUGUGCAGAGAUACCAUGACCAAGGCAACUAACUAAGAGAGAGGCGGGGAGGGAGGGAGAUUGAUUGAUUGGGUCUGCUAACUAAGCAUUCAAAUGCAGGAGCCUAUGUGGGCCUAAGUCAGAAUACCCCAGGAGGUGAGCAAGCUGUGUCUCUGCAGCCUUUCUUUUCUUGGGAUGGGGUGGGGGGGGGGGUGGUGGUGGUGGUGGAGAAAUCAGUUAGUGAGUUGAUAAGAUUUUAUACCCCAAAAAAAUAGAGUUCAGGUUUUGAGGAUGUAGUUUAGUGGGUAUGUGUCAGUUUAACAUGCACAGACCCCUGGAUUCAGUCCUCAGCAUGACAAAAACUGAACAUAAUGGUUCAUCCUUGUCAUCCCAUCACUCUUGAGGAGGAGGUGGAGGUGGGAGGAUCAGAGCUGAAGAUCAGAGGCUGGAGAGAUGGCUCAGUGUUGAAGUGCGCUUAGUGCUCCUGCAGAGAACCUGAGUUGUAGUCCCCCCAUGUGCAUGGUGGGUCAGAGCUGUCUAUAACUUCAGUUCUAGAGAAUUGGGUAGCCUCUCUGACGCCUGUGGUCUCUUGUAUGCACAUGGUGCGCAAAUACUAGGCAUUAUGCAUACACAUUUCAAAAACAUUUUAUUAAACUUUAAAAUAAUUCUUGAGUAGAUAGCCAAUUCAAAGCUAGUAUGAGAUACAGUAGACCCAGUCCUAAAACCAACCAAACAACACAUUGUUUCUAAAUUCUACCAAUUUAUUCUUUCUGUUUACAAGUCUAAAAUCUUGUUUGUACAAUAGGCCCCACGCAUUAAACAGUUCUUGAAAAUUAAUCUUCUAAGACCACAUGCACAUCUAGUUACAGCGCUACAUUAAACAGUUAAAAUAUCUCCAUAUACUGUGUUUUCAGAGACAAUUGGUUAUUCAUUUAAAUAUUGUCACAUAGCCUAUUCCCAUAACUGGUGUUUCUCAUUAGCUAAAAUAACAUUUUAUAAAAUGUAUGGUAAAUUUGUGGUGGAAUUGUUUUAAAAAAUCUGAAAUACGGUCAGGUAUGAUGGAACAUGCCUCCUAUAAUGCUGGCACUCAAGAGGCAGAGGCAGGUGGGUCUCUGUGAAUUUGAGGUCAGCCUGGUCUACAGAUCAUAACUCGGACAGCCUGACACAGAGAAACCCUGUCUCUAAAUUAAAAG
rnacentral:lncRNA from 1 species